rnacentral:rRNA from 1 species
CUACAAAGGAAUUGACGGGGCCCGCACAAGCGGUGGAGCAUGUGGUUAAUUCGACGCAACGCGAAGAACUUACCAGGGCUUGACAUCCCCUGACCGCGUAUGAAAGUACGUUUUCACCUCGGGUGACAGGGAGACAGGUGGUGCAUGGUUGUCGUCAGCUCGUGUCGUGAGAUGUUGGGUUAAGUCCCGCAACGAGCGCAACCCCUACGUUUAGUUGCUAACGCGUGAAGGCGAGCACUCUAGACGAACUGCCGUUGACAAAACGGAGGAAGGUGGGGAUGACGUCAAAUCAUCAUGCCCCUUAUGUUCUGGGCUACACACGUGCUACAAUGGCCGGUACAGACGGACGCAAAGCCGCGAGGUGGAGCAAAUCCUAAAAAGCCGGUCUCAGUUCGGAUUGCAGGCUGCAAUUCGCCUGCAUGAAGUCGGAAUCGCUAGUAAUCGCAGGUCAGCAUACUGCGGUGAAUACGUUCCCGGGCCUU